UACGUAGGGUGCAAGCGUUAAUCGGAAUUACUGGGCGUAAAGCGUGCGCAGGCGGCUUUGCAAGACAGAUGUGAAAUCCCCGGGCUUAACCUGGGAACUGCAUUUGUGACUGCAUGGCUGGAGUGCGGCAGAGGGGGAUGGAAUUCCGCGUGUAGCAGUGAAAUGCGUAGAUAUGCGGAGGAACACCGAUGGCGAAGGCAAUCCCCUGGGCCAUUACUGACGCUGAGGUGCGAAAGCGUGGGGAGCAAACAGG
rnacentral:rRNA from 1 species